UACGGAGGGUGCAAACGUUGCUCGGAAUCAUUGGGCGUAAAGCGCACGUAGGUGGCCUGUUAAGUCGGGUGUGAAAGCCCUCGGCUCAACCGAGGAAGUGCAUUCGAAACUAGCAGGCUUGAGUAUGGAAGAGGGUCGUGGAAUUCCCGGUGUAGAGGUGAAAUUCGUAGAUAUCAGGAGGAACACCUGUGGCGAAAGCGGCUCACUGGACCAUAACUGACGCUGAUGCACGAAAGCUAGGGGAGCAAACAGG
rnacentral:rRNA from 1 species